AGAAAAAUUGUAUUAACAUGACAUUGACUCUGAUUAGCUUAUUGUUUCCCAUGUGCAUUUGAACACAGGUAUCACAUUUGGACCUUUAAACUAUUAUCAUGAUAGUAUGUUAAUAUAUUAGUAUCAUCUUUUGAGAACAAAGAACACUUACUUUUGUGGAUUUUACUGCCAAGUGUGCAAAUGAUUAUUUUUUUAAAUAAAAAAUCAUCAUAUUAAUCAUAUUAAAUGAUUUCUAUGGGUUUUUUUUUUUCUUUUGGUCAAAACAAGACAGAGGUAAAGGUUGAAGAGUUCCGUUCGGCAACUGGACAUGAAGUUUUCUUGAAGAUGUUUCGCUUCUCCAAGAAGCUUGUUCAGUUCGGAUCUUUCUUGGAUGAGAGGAGAAAACCAUGGCCUGAUGACUGAGAAUCUUCACGGAUAAGACAGGAGUAAAAUUUGUCCAAUUUUCAUUCAGUAUUUCAAAAAUGUGUCUACUAUUGUGCAUCUGUUUCCAUGUACAGGUGUUGUUUGAGACAAUGGAGGAGCCACAGAGAGCAGAAGCUCCUAUCUCCAAGUGUAGAAGGCGGCACAAUGUCACAAAUGGACACAAAUGUCCGAUUUGUGGCCAAGUAUAUGCUGAUGUACCACAGCAUCUCAGAGUCACUGAACGGGUUACAAACAAAACUGAGCUGGCUCUUUUGAGUAAAUUUGCUCAUCGACAUUUCAUCGCUCAUCUGGACUGCCCAGUCCACCUCUGCCAGUCUAAAUACAUUACUUGACUUGACAAGCACCUACAAAAGAUCCACCAACUUGAGAAACCUAUAGUAAGGCUUUACACAUUCAAAAAGCCGAGGACAGACACAUUGCCAAGGAACUGGCACUCCUAAGGGCUUCAAAUCCCACACCACCAAUGGUUUCGCAUCUUGAUGAAGUGGACGAUGCAGUAAUUGAAGAGGGAAUCAAGAGGGCAGUGGAGGCGAGGUCACAAGCUCUCUGUAUCCUCCAUUACUGCUAUAUCACAACUUUCAACUUCUCCCCACACUUCCAGCAUGGUUUCUUGUGACCACAGUACCCCAAAUGUGCAACUUUCUUCUCCUUCUGCCAGCAUGGCUUCCUGUGACCACGGCAUCCCAAAUAUGCAAUCUCCUUCUGCCACCAAGGCUUCCUGUGACCACGCCAGCCGAAAUGUGCAGCCUCCUUCUGCCACUGACCUUGAGUAAAACUGGUUGAGGAAUUUAAGGGCUAUACAGAAGGCGCAAACCCAGGCAGGAAAACACGUGAAAAUACAAAGCAGCGAGCAACUCAUGUUAUCCAGUUUCUGGAAUUCAUGGCAGACUCAACAACUCCAAACGUUGACCUUCUUUUCCUGGCAAACCAUGGUAGAGUUCGUGGUUUUGUACAGCACCUCCAAGAAAAAGGGUUUAAACCAACAACCCAGAGAAAUUAUUUAAUGGACGCUGUGGCUUUCAUGAAAUAUGUUUCAAACAUGUCUCCACCAUCUGUCCGACUUGGAAAUAAAAGGAUCAAUGCCCUCUUGAUUGAACUGAGGGCACGGAUUAGAGACAUUGGCCAAGAAGUAGUUGGACACCAGCUCAAUGUGCGCAGAUCUAAGUCUGAUAGACUUGUCAAAGCAAAGAAGCAUGCUUUGUUUAUUGAAAAGGCUCCUCAGAAGAUUGCUGAUGCACUGGGUGGAACAGCACAAAACCCAAAGGUAUUUUGGAUCAGCAGCCGUAUACUCUAAGAACGAGCAUGACUGGUUGCGCCGUUAAAACCGACUUCGCAGAGAGAUUAAAGGAGGCUCACAGGCAUCUACUUUUUUCCACAAUGCCAAUGGGGGUGUCCUUGAUAAGCUGCCUGAAUAUUUCAAGAAGGCCUGGGAAGAGAUGAAUUUAGGGACUGCCCCCACAUUCAACAUGCUGC